rnacentral:rRNA from 1 species
AUUGAACGCUGGCGGCAUGCCUUACACAUGCAAGUCGAACGGCAGCACGGGUGCUUGCACCUGGUGGCGAGUGGCGAACGGGUGAGUAAUACAUCGGAACAUGUCCUGUAGUGGGGGAUAGCCCGGCGAAAGCCGGAUUAAUACCGCAUACGAUCCACGGAUGAAAGCGGGGGACCUUCGGGCCUCGCGCUAUAGGGUUGGCCGAUGGCUGAUUGGCUAGUUGGUGGGGUAAAGGCCUACCAAGGCGACGAUCAGUAGCUGGUCUGAGAGGACGACCAGCCACACUGGGACUGAGACACGGCCCAGACUCCUACGGGAGGCAGCAGUGGGGAAUUUUGGACAAUGGGCGAAAGCCUGAUCCAGCAAUGCCGCGUGUGUGAAGAAGGCCUUCGGGUUGUAAAGCACUUUUGUCCGGAAAGAAAUCCUUGACUCUAAUACAGUCGGGGGAUGACGGUACCGGAAGAAUAAGCACCGGCUAACUACGUG